rnacentral:rRNA from 1 species
UGGGGAAUAUUGGACAAUGGGCGAAAGCCUGAUCCAGCCAUGCCGCGUGUGUGAAGAAGGUCUUCGGAUUGUAACGCACUUUAAGUUGGGAGGAAGGGCAGUAAGCGAAUACCUUGCUGUUUUGACGUUACCGACAGAAUAAGCACCGGCUAACUCUGUGCCAGCAGCCGCGGUAAUACAGAGGGUGCAAGCGUUAAUCGGAAUUACUGGGCGUAAAGCGCGCGUAGGUGGUUCGUUAAGUUGAAUGUGAAAGCCCCGGGCUCAACCUGUGAACUGCAUCCAGAAGUGGCGAGCUAGAGUAGGGCAGAGGGUGGUGGAAUGUCCUGUGUAGCGGUGAAAUGCGUAGGUAUAGGAAGGAACACCAGUGGCGAAGGCGACCACCUGGGCUCAUACUGACACUGAGGUGCGAAAGCGUGGGGGGCGAACAGG